CCUACGGGAGGCAGCAGUGGGGAAUUUUGGACAAUGGGCGCAAGCCUGAUCCAGCCAUGCCGCGUGCAGGAUGAAGGCCUUCGGGUUGUAAACUGCUUUUGUACGGAACGAAAAGACUUGUCUUAAUACGAUGGGUCCAUGACGGUACCGUAAGAAUAAGCACCGGCUAACUACGUGCCAGCAGCCGCGGUAAUACGUAGGGUGCAAGCGUUAAUCGGAAUUACUGGGCGUAAAGCGUGCGCAGGCGGUAAUGUAAGACAGAUGUGAAAUCCCCGGGCUCAACCUGGGAACUGCAUUUGUGACUGCAUUGCUGGAGUGCGGCAGAGGGGGAUGGAAUUCCGCGUGUAGCAGUGAAAUGCGUAGAUAUGCGGAGGAACACCGAUGGCGAAGGCAAUCCCCUGGGCCUGCACUGACGCUCAUGCACGAAAGCGUGGGGAGCAAACAGGAUUAGAUACCCUGGUAGUCCACGCCCUAAACGAUGUCAACUGGUUGUUGGGUCUUCAUUGACUCAGUAACGAAGCUAACGCGUGAAGUUGACCGCCUGGGGAGUACGGCCGCAAGGUUGAAACUUAAAUGAAUUGACGG
rnacentral:rRNA from 1 species